ACGUACCAAUGAGUUGUUUGCUUACCCUUUCUCUCUUUCUCCUUCAUUUUCUUUUUCAUUUUCCAUGUAUAUAAUUCUCGCUAGUCAAGCUAAAGUAACUUUUCCUUCCUUUACUCUAAAGUUCUCAAGAUCUGAUGUCUGAAAAGUACAUAAACCUUUAUUAGGAGAAGUAGAAGAAAGAACACAAGAAUCUGAAAGAAGAAGCAUAAAAGCAUAUAGCAUAUGACAAUUUACUGCACAUAUAGCCUAGGGGCGGAUUUAGGAGGGCGGAAACCGAAAUUUAUACUGCAUAUUUAAAAUAAAAUCUAUUUUUUAACUUUAUAUAUUAUUUUUCGAAUCCUUUUGACAAAUCUUAAAAAAAUAAUUUAGUUGUCACGGGUCAAAACCUUUGUGAAGUCAGAAGUUCAAUUUCCACUGGCGAUAAUUUCUUUAAUUUUUUAACUUCUUUUUUUUCUGAACUCCCUGAAACAAAAGAAGAUGGAUUGACCAUAGAUCUCCCGACCCAAUUACCAAAAUAAUAUAGAGAUAUCUACUGAACAAAGCGGAUGGCUACAAAAACAAUGGAAGUAUUGUACUUCGGCUUGAGCCUAUGGUUGUCUUGUUGAAUUGCGCUCUCUAACAACUUGUUUGGAUGAGAGUUCCUCAUUUUAUCUUAUUGUAUUGUUAUUCAAAAAUAAUAUUUAUUUUAAUUAUUUUAUUAAAAGUGAUUGUAUUGUAUUGUUAAAUUUAUUGUUCAAAAAUAAUGAAAAGUCUGAAAAAAUCAAUUUGGUGUGGUGGAAUUGUUUCCUAUUUUUCUUUUCAAAUAUACCGUAACUUAUUACUCCACAAUUCUAUUUUUCCCUUUAUCUUUUUUUCUAUGGAGAAUGCAUAAGUAUCCCUCUGACCUAUACCCGGAUUUCCAACUAUACACUUUUUCUUUGCGCGAAUCCUAUUACCCCCCUAAACUUAUUUUAAAUGAAAUUAUUUGCACUCUUAACGCUGACGUAGCAGAGUAUGUGUAUUUCACUCUCCCAAGGAGAGUGAGAAGCAAGAAAAAAUGAUUCAAAUUAUUUUUUAUUCUUUUUACCAUUUUUUCUUACUUUUUUUGCUUUUCCAUUUUCUUUUUCUUUUACUUUUUUUUGUUCGUUUCUUUUCUAAUUCCGGUGGAUAUUCAUUCACUGGCGACUUUGUUUAAUCGUUUUUCUAACAUUUUUUUACACACAAAUUAAAUUCUCAAAAAGAUCCAUUCAUAAGCAAAGCAAAAUACACUCAAAUUUGGGGGAAAAAAAUUCAUCAUCGGGAAACCUUCCCACGCCAGAAAAAAAUAAUGUAUUGACGUUUUAACUGAUAAAGAUUUUCUAAGCUUAUAUUCAUUUUUAUUUCUUUUUAUCUUCCUCCCACACAUAAAUUACACUUUCAAAAAAAGUUUAUAUAAAUAUAUCUAACAAACACAUUUAGAUCGGAAUAAAAAUCUAUCGUCGGAAAGAAAUUCUCUAGAUAAAAUGGUAUUUGUGAAAUUCUGACGACCACCAUUUUAUGCCGCUGGUGACCAAAACAAAAAGAAAGAGAAUAAAUAACAAAAAAAAUGAGAAUAAUAAGAAAUAAGAAAAAAGAAUAAAAAAAGAAGAAAGAAUAGAAAAGGUAUUAAAAAUGCAUGUGGGAGCACGUGUAGUUCACCACUUGUCAAGAGUUUGGUUGUUAGUGUUAAUGGUGCAAAUAGUUACAUUUAAAACAAGUUUAAGGGGGUAAUAGGAUUCUGGCAAAGAAAAAGUAUGUAGUUGGAAAUCCGUGUAUAGGUUGGGGGAUACUUAUGCAUUUUUCCUUUUUUCUAUUUUAAUUCCAAAUCUCCAACUUAUAACCUAUUUUAUUUUAUUUUGAAGAACUUCUGCCGCCAACGUUAAAGGUGUUUUGUCACCUUUUGUUUUAUUUUUUCUCCUAAUGUGCUUUUAACUCGAUUCUAAUUAGUUGUGCUCUUUUGUUUUACCUUCUUCCGUCUUGCUCCUUUGUUCUACUUUCUUAAUGUGUUUUACUUUCUUCUAUUUUGUUUUUUAAAAUUAUUUUUAGGCAUACUUUUUUUAUAUAUAUUUAAACAAUUAAGGGUACUUUAGUAAACUUAUGAAUUACAGUACAGUACGAUACAGUCAAAUCAAACAGCAAAAUAUUAUUUAACAAUAACAAAUAAUAUAAUCUAUCCAAACAUUAUAUUCAUAAAACAAUAAUAUAAUAUAAUAUAAUACAUUAUAAAAUAAUGAGGAACAAUGAUCCAAGCAAAGUGACAAUUAAUAACACUUGUUGUCAAGUUGAUUGCAAUAGAUUGUUGCUAAUUUUGCUAAUAUUUCAGCAUAUAAAAGAUUUUCAUCUUGUAGUUAGUUGGUAUGUAUCAAGAAAAUAAUCCAUUCAUCUUAAUUUUUAAAUCCUUCAAAUAUUGAUCAAGGUUAACAUCGAAUGGUGUAGGUAAAUUUUUUUUGAUAAAUAAUAACUUUUUGGCGAAAUUAGACCCUGACAUCAGAAAUGACAAUAAUAAUCACACAAAUGUCUAGACACGAAAUCAUACACAUAAUAUCCCACAUAACUAUUAAUUUUAUUUUUAAAAGAAGUUUUUAAGAUUAUAUACUUAUUUCCGACUCUUGGAUAUAAAAAUGACCUUUGAAUAUAUGGUACAAAUAUAGCUACUACAAAGAGAGAAAAUCAGCAAUUCUCCAGCAUUAGAGAUAUAAUUAAAUAUGGUGGGAUACCCAAAAACCUCUCUAUACUUGACAGAAUUAUUAGUUACAUUCUAAACUAUCAUGGUCUUAAUUAUUCCACUAAAUUUGGCUUUCUAAGAGCUAUAACCUCCCUAGACGCUUAAAUAGCAAAGAGAGUAAGGUGCACUCUCUUUUAAGCACGUAGGAGUAAAGAAAAAUUGAAAAACCAUCUUCCAAAUAGGUUAUUUUUUAACUUUUAAUUGUCAUAUAUGAUUUAUUUAUUACAAUUACGUAUUUCUUCUUACUUCAUCUUAAUACAUAAUGUGGACUUUACUGUAAUCUUUAUUCUUUCUAAUUUUUUCUAUAAAUAUAAUGUCUAUAUGUUCCAACUACAUAUUUCUUCUUUUCUUUGGGCUAGAUUUGAAAAGUUUGGUGGGGACUCCAUCAUUUUAGCCAAAUAAAAAAUUCCAGCAAAUAUAAUGGAGUACUAGUUGUGUAUUUUUCGUUAUUUUUUCUUUAAAUAUAAUAAGUAUUUACUUUAAUUGUGUAUUUUUAUUUUCGAGUCAAAUUAGUAAAGAAAAUGGCCACAGCUCCAUUAUUUUUUACCAAAUAAAAGGUAUAGCCGAAAUAAUAUUUGCAAUCGUACACCUUUUUUUUAUGCAAUAAUUAUUUAUUUCAACUAUGUAAUUUUAUUUUUUUUGGUAAUAUAUGUAAAAAAAAAUAUUUUUAGAGUUCCAAAUUUAGAACUGUAUAAAAAAUUAGAGCCAAAAUAAUAAAGUUAUGUAUUUUUUAUAUCUUUUUCGAUGUCUUAACUAUUUAUUUUAACUGUAUAAAUCAUUAUUUUCAUGUAAAAUUCAAAAAUAAAAACUAAGACAUUAUUAUUUUUAGCUAAUUAAAAAAAUAAAAAAAGUCAAAAAUACCCCUAAUGUAUUGAAAAUGGUUCACAAAUUUUCUGUGUUAACCUUUUGGUUUAAAAAGACUCUUAAUAUUUUAUUUUUGACUAAUAUAUAUCCUUGAAACCGACCUGGUAAAUAUUGGCACUUAUAAAAUAUCCAUGUAGUAUUUUUUAUGCUUGACACGUGUAUUUUUAUAAAUAAAAUUAAAAACCAUCUAUUUCUUGUAACUCAACCCACCUAAGUCCCUAUAACCUGCGGGUGGCUUCCCUCUUCUUUCAGAAUUGACUACUUCAAUAAUGGAGGUACGAAAAAUAUGCCCAUCUCAUUCUUCUCCUUCUUCCCGUCAGAUAAUAAUUGUAGGCUAUAAUUAUGUAUUUUAGUCAUUUAUUACAUUUUAAUUUAUUGUACUUUAAUUGAGUUUGAACUUUAAUCGCUAGUGUUUUAUACUAAUUAUGUAUUUUAUGCCUUGUAGGAGCAAUCCGAGCUAUGUAGAUAUUACGGAAUGAAAUCGAGCUAUUUGAAUUGCUGAAGUCGAGUAGAAGCCAAAGGUAUUAAGCUGGAAUCGCGUUUGGGGGUCGAGAACCACGUCUAAACUUCAAAAAUUAAGCAAAACGGCAAGCUCUAAGAAAAAACCCACAGUCGCAGCGUGCCACAGCUGCCUUAUUUUGUUGUUGCCUUCAAAGUGCACACUUCCUCAUAAACUCCACUAUCACAUCGCAUGUCGCGUUGCCCCAUGCAGCACGCCUGUGCAAUUUUUAUAGAGUAACAAUCGAAUGUCAACCAGGAGAAGGUGGUUUCGUUCAGGUCUGACCCUACUUGGUAUAAAUACAUGUAAAAAUGUUAUUUUGGGGACAUUUGACACAUUUUAAACCGAAGUCUGAUGACCCGAAAGGUCAUUACUUGAUUUAAAUUAAAUUAUGUAUUUUCUGAGGCCUUGAAAGCCUCUUUAGCCUCGUCUCAAUUUGUGUGCGCAGUCCGUACGUUUAGCCGGAAAGCUUAUAUGGUAAAAUGUAUGAAAAGAAUAAUAAGUUUUGAUUGUAAAAGGAAUAAAUUUGGCUUCGUUCAAUAUUUUGGGUAAACGGACCCGGACCCGUGAUUUAACUGUCCCAGAGGGUCCGUAGGAAAAUAUGAGACUUGGGCGUAUACCCAGAAUUGAAUUUCGAGGUCCCGAACCCGAGAAAUAAAUUUUUUUAGAAAAUUAUUGCCUGAAAGAUUUUAAGGAAAUUUGAAAACAAAUAUGAUUAGAAAGCAUUAGUAUCGGGCCCGUAUUUUGGCUUUGGAGCCCAGUAUAUGUCUUAUAUAUGGUUUAGGUCUUUUCUGUGAAAUUUGAAUAAAAAUGAUUGUCGUUUGACGUAGUUCGAACUUGAAUUGUCAAAUUUAAUACUUGUUGAAGUUUGAGAAAAGUUGUUGAUUUUGAUAAUACGUAUAAAUAUAGCAUGGCAUACCAAUGAGUUGUUUGCUUCCCCUUUCUCUCUUUCUCCUUCAUUUUCUUUUCCUUUUUCCAUGUAUGUAAUUCUCGCUAGUCAAGCCAAAGUAACUUUUCCUUCCCUUCCUCUAAAGUUCUCAAGAUCUGAUGUCUGAAAAGUACAUAAA
rnacentral:lncRNA from 1 species